rnacentral:misc_RNA from 1 species
CGCACCUUGCGCUCCUUGGUAUUCCGAGGAGCAUGCCUGUUUGAGUGUCAUGUAUCUCUCAAUCUUCUCAGUUUUUCUGAGAGGGAUUGGAAUUGGAAGCUGCCGUUGUAAAAUGGCUCUUCUCAAAAGCAUUAGUGUGAAUGUUACCGAAUGUUCUCCAGUGUAAUAAUCAUUUGCGCUGCAAGAGCUUCAGUAGAAUUAAGUUCAUGCUUCCAACCGUCUGUCUCAGACAAUACACUUUGCGUUUGACCUCAAAUCAGGUAGGAUUACCCGCUGAACUUAA